rnacentral:tRNA from 1 species
GUUCUUGUAGCUCAGUGGAUAGAGCAACGGUCUUCUAAACCGUGGGUCGUUGGUUCAAAUCCAACCAGGAACACCA